rnacentral:rRNA from 1 species
AUUGAACGCUGGCGGCAUGCCUUACACAUGCAAGUCGAACGGCAGCGGACCUUCGGGUGCCGGCGAGUGGCGAACGGGUGAGUAAUAUAUCGGAACGUACCUUUCAGUGGGGGAUAACGUAGCGAAAGUUACGCUAAUACCGCAUAUUCUGUGAGCAGGAAAGCAGGGGAUCGCAAGACCUUGCGCUGAUUGAGCGGCCGAUAUCAGAUUAGCUAGUUGGUGAGGUAAAGGCUCACCAAGGCGACGAUCUGUAGCGGGUCUGAGAGGAUGAUCCGCCACACUGGAACUGAGACACGGUCCAGACUCCUACGGGAGGCAGCAGUGGGGAAUUUUGGACAAUGGGCGCAAGCCUGCUCCAGCCAUGCCGCGUGAGUGAAGAAGGCCUCGGUUGUAAGACGUCUUUCUAGUCGAGAAGAAAAGGACGUAGUGGUAAGUACCUGUUCGGUAUGACGGUACCGACCACGAA